GGCGUGCCUAAUACAUGCAAGUCGAGCGAACAGACGAGGAGCUUGCUCCUCUGACGUUAGCGGCGGACGGGUGAGUAACACGUGGAUAACCUACCUAUAAGACUGGGAUAACUUCGGGAAACCGGAGCUAAUACCGGAUAAUAUAUUGAACCGCAUGGUUCAAUAGUGAAAGACGGUUUUGCUGUCACUUAUAGAUGGAUCCGCGCCGCAUUAGCUAGUUGGUAAGGUAACGGCUUACCAAGGCAACGAUGCGUAGCCGACCUGAGAGGGUGAUCGGCCACACUGGAACUGAGACACGGUCCAGACUCCUACGGGAGGCAGCAGUAGGGAAUCUUCCGCAAUGGGCGAAAGCCUGACGGAGCAACGCCGCGUGAGUGAUGAAGGUCUUCGGAUCGUAAAACUCUGCUAUUAGGGAAGAACAAAUGUGUAAGUAACUAUGCACGUCUUGACGGUACCUAAUCAGAAAGCCACGGCUAACUACGUGCCAGCAGCCGCGGUAAUACGUAGGUGGCAAGCGUUAUCCGGAAUUAUUGGGCGUAAAGCGCGCGUAGGCGGUUUUUUAAGUCUGAUGUGAAAGCCCACGGCUCAACCGUGGAGGGUCAUUGGAAACUGGAAAACUUGAGUGCAGAAGAGGAAAGUGGAAUUCCAUGUGUAGCGGUGAAAUGCGCAGAGAUAUGGAGGAACACCAGUGGCGAAGGCGACUUUCUGGUCUGUAACUGACGCUGAUGUGCGAAAGCG
rnacentral:rRNA from 1 species